AGCAGAUCUCUUCACUCUCACACCAGCCAGGUCUGACUCCACCCGGACUCCAGGGUGGACACAACCAGGCCUGGCUCACCACUGGCCAGGGGUUCAGAGAUGAGCAUGUGACUCACUUAGGCCAGUGAGGCUCACAUCCAGAGGCUUUGCCGGACAAUUUGGAAUGAGAAUAAAACCAACACCGAAGAAAGCAGAACCAAGAGAUCAUCUCCAGGUGACAUAGUUUGGGUCCUUAGCUGUAGCUGUGCCUGAAGGUCGAUCUAUCCUAAGAUUUUUAUGAGUGGGAACGUCCAAGCUGCUGGCCUGGAGUAUUGCUCAGUUGGAAGGACAGAAGCGCACUCAAGCUACUCAGGGCAGGAAGCUGGAAACCGCCCCUGCAACAUUCCAGGAUGCCAGAGCCAGGACCUUGGUCUGCCUGCUGAUUGACGUCUUCCCUGGCUGUUACUGGACCCACACUGGAAAAAGAUGCUGGUAUGGGAAUCCCACGGAUAAAAAGAACUUAUCAAAGGAAAUGCAGCAAAGGAGCUUCUUACCCCUACCAACCCAGCAAUGUACACAGUGAAGCUGUCAUUCAAAUCAGGACUGGGAAGCAACUGAUCUACAACGUACCUCCAUGAGGGAACAACAUGAAGACCCCCUAGAGGAACGCCCAGCACAGACCUCAUGUAUCCAGGGUACUCAGGAAGCAGGAGUGUCGGACAAUUCGAGCUGGGCCCCCAGCAGGUGUUAAGCGCUUCUCGUUGGCACAAUACUUCAUGAGUCAUUGUUUCGUCUGAGCUUCCCAACCAGGCCACGAAGUAGGUAUUAUUUCUCUCCCCAGCUCCAAUUUUUUUAAACAAAUGAGGAAACUAAGGGUGGGACAUGGUAAGUAACUGCUCAAAGUCACACUGUUGGAUGAAGAUCAGAACUGGAACUUGAAUCCAGGUUUUAGCUUAUGCAAAUUCGGUGCCUUUUUCUGGUAUUAAAAAAAACUGGUCAAGGAAGGCUUCACAGAGGAGGAGGUGCUUGAACUACCCAACCAGCAAGGCACCAAGUACAAGGGUGAUAGGGCCUCUGGGCAAAAGCACAGAGGUGCAACACAGCAAGGCCAGUUCAGGAAACAAAACAUGGCUUCUACGAACAGAAUGUGCGCUCCUUGAGGACAAGAAGGAUGCAGCUCCUUCAGCAGACACUGGAUGACUUUGCAGGAUGGAUGUGUGGAGCACAGAUUCGCUAGAGAGGAGUAGCCGGGAAGUCAGUGAGGGAGAGGCAUUCACCCAACAUGGAAGGCGGUGGGGGGGCCAUAGUGCUAAGAGAAUCAGCUGGAAGGUGGUUCCAGCAGAGAGAAGAGGAGGGCCAGAAGGAAACCAGGGUAGGAAGAGGAAACAAACGUUUGGGAGUUAGGCUCCCCGGAGGCCUGGCGACACCCUGAAGGGGAGGGGUGACGGGCACCCAUCUGCAGGCAGAAAGGCAGGGGCAGGGGGGAGACCGAGGAUGGUGGCUGUGGAGGGAACAAGCGCGGGUGGUGCAACCUCAGCAGUCACUCGCGGGGCUGCACGCCGGCGAGGGCGGGGCCUCCCAGACCGGAGGGCUGGAGGAGGCGUCCGCAACCUGCCAGAACCCAGUUAACAAAGGCAGGACUACAACUCCCAGCAUG